GAUGAACGCUGGCGGCGUGCCUAAUACAUGCAAGUCGAGCGAACAGACGAGGAGCUUGCUCCUCUGACGUUAGCGGCGGACGGGUGAGUAACACGUGGAUAACCUACCUAUAAGACUGGGAUAACUUCGGGAAAACGGAGCUAAUACCGGAUAAGAUAUUGAACCGCAUGGUUCAAUAGUGAAAGACGGUGGUGCUGGAACUGAUAGAGGGAUCCGCGCCGCAUUAGCUAGUUGGUAAGGUAACGGCUUACCAAGGCAACGAUGCGUAUCCGACCUGAGAGGGUGAUGCUCCCCACUGGCCCUUAGACACGCUCCCUCCUCCUACGGCCGCCAUCCGUAUGGCCUCUUCCGCAAAGGGCCAACUCCUGACGGUCCAACGCCCCGUCAGUGAUGAAGGUCUUCGCAUCGUAAAACUCUGUUAUUAGCGCAGACCAACUUUGUAAGUAACUAUGCACGUCUUGACGGUACCUAAUCAGAAAGCCACGGCUAACUACGUG
rnacentral:rRNA from 1 species